GAUGAACGCUAGCUACAGGCUUAACACAUGCAAGUCGAGGGGCAGCAUGAACUUAGCUUGCUAAGUUUGAUGGCGACCGGCGCACGGGUGAGUAACACGUAUCCAACCUGCCGAUGACUCGGGGAUAGCCUUUCGAAAGAAAGAUUAAUACCCGAUGGCAUAGUUCUUCCGCAUGGUAGAACUAUUAAAGAAUUUCGGUCAUCGAUGGGGAUGCGUUCCAUUAGGUUGUUGGCGGGGUAACGGCUCACCAAGCCUUCGAUGGAUAGGGGUUCUGAGAGGAAGGUCCCCCACAUUGGAACUGAGACACGGUCCAAACUCCUACGGGAGGCAGCAGUGAGGAAUAUUGGUCAAUGGACGAGAGUCUGAACCAGCCAAGUAGCGUGAAGGAUGACUGCCCUAUGGGUUGUAAACUUCUUUUAUACGGGAAUAAAGUGAGGCACGUGUGCCUUUUUGUAUGUACCGUAUGAAUAAGGAUCGGCUAACUCCGUG
rnacentral:rRNA from 1 species